rnacentral:rRNA from 1 species
UACGUAGGUGGCAAGCGUUGUUCGGAAUUAUUGGGCGUAAAGGGCGCGUAGGCGGUCUUGUAAGUCAGCUGUGAAAGCCCGGGGCUCAACCCCGGAGGGUCGGCUGAUACUGCAGGACUGGAGUACGGAAGAGGUAGCUGGAAUUCCCGGUGUAGCGGUGUAAUGCGUAGAUAUCGGGAGGAACACCUGAGGCGAAGGCGGGCUACUGGGCCGAUACUGACGCUGAGGCGCGAAAGCCAGGGGAGCAAACGGG